rnacentral:rRNA from 1 species
UUCUUUUAGUAUUAAAUUUAAGGUAUAGCCUGCUCAAUGAUUUAUUUAAAUAGCCGCGGUAUCUUAUCGUGCUAAGGUAGCAUAAUCAAUUGUCUCUUAAUUGGGGUCUAGUAUGAAAGGUUGAACGAAGAAUUAACUUUUUUAAUUAAAUUUUUUUAAAUUUUAUUUCUUAGUCAAAAAGCUAAGAUAAACUUAUGGGACGAUAAGACCCUAUAGAAUUUUAUUUUCAUUAAUAUUAAAUAAAGGUUGGAUAAUUUAUUUUUAUUUUUAUUAAUGAAAAUUUGGUUGGGGUGAUUGUUAUAAAUUUAUAACUAUAAUUUGCUUUAAUUCACUAAUUAGUGAAUUAUUGAUCCUAAUUUUUAGAUUAAAAGGACAAAUUACCUUAGGGAUAACAGCGUAAUAUUUUUGGAAAGUACUUAUUUAUAAAAAUGAUUGCGA